AAAGUCGUGUUUGUUGAGAUAUAAUUUAUAUAUGGUAUGAUUUACCCCAUUUAGUUUUAUAGUUAUAUAAAUUUUGAUAACACAAAUAUAAAAAAUGACAACAUAUAUCUAUAUGGAUAUUUAGUACUACCAUCAAGAUACAGAAUGUUACCUUGUUCUCCUUCACUGCUUUUUUAAAAAGAGAAAUUAAUUUUAAUAUAUUUUCAUUUAACCCAAUGCAUUACCAACAUAAUUUGCAAAGAAAAUAAUUGUUAAUAAGAUAUUUCAUGUUGAUUUUCUUUGUCUUAGUAAUUCUUUGGAAUGUAAUGUCUAUUUAACACAUAGUACACCUCUAUUCAGACGAAACACAUUUCAAAUACUCAGUGGCCUCAUGUAACCAAUGGCUGUCAUAUUGGCUCCUUUCUCCAUCUUUCACCUUUUGGUGAGACAUAUGCUAUAGACUGCAUAUGUCUUGUUAUUGUUAAACCACGUCACAAAGAAAAGACCACUGAUUCCAGCAAGCUUUUAAUUCUGACUGGCUGGGGCUGUCUCUCCUGAAACCCAUGGGAAUAGAAGACAGCCCUGUGGCUCUCUAGAAGCACAGCUUUAUAGGACAGAAAGUUGCAAAAAGGCAGGGGGGUGACUUGAGAACUUACAGAUAACAGGAUUUUGACAAACGUAACACAAAGGCAGAUAGUAGGUUAAUGGUCUAAAUGGUUCAGCACUUAGGGAGUAAAUUUAGAUCCCAACAUCAGAAUUUAUGAGGUGCCAUUAGAGUUUCAGAGAGGUUGCUUUUCUGGCCAGGGAAAGCCAGAAUUUAUGAGGUGCCACUAAAGUUUCAGAGAGGGUUGUUAUUUGGUCAGGGAAAGCCAGGCAUGGGUGAGUUCAAGGCACGGGCAACAUUCUAAGCAAGUUUAGAAAUUGCAGUAAUUUAUAGUAAAGCUGAAAUUAACUUUUCAUGCCUCUGUGACCAGAUGGCUCCCAAUCUUAAGAGGGAAUUAAGCUGGGUUUAUCAGUUAUGUGGUUUCUUGUUGAGUUUCAUCAGAAAGGGACACCAAAGAGAUGAACUUAGAAUAUACAAGAGUAGAGCGAGGUAUUUUAUUUCUCCUUGUGAGACUCUAAUAGACUGUGGGUUGGUUUCUUCAUGCUUUUGGUGGGAAUAACUUCAGAUAGGUCACCUUCUCGUACAAGAUUUUCAUAAUGGCUCUUCUUUCACCUCCUACCUCUCCAAGUUUAUGGAAGGAAAGGUGCUUCAAAAAUUCGUUAGUUUCCCUCGACCUUGCCCUUACCUUUAUAAAUACCUUAUUAAACAAUUUUUUAUUUGAUUUGUCUUUUUCACCCUUGAAUCUUGAAUAAUGGAUUUUAAAUUAUAAGAGAAUAAAAUAUACCUCAUCACAAUGUAUAUACACAUACCAGAUUAAUUAUAUAUUAAAAUAAUAUAAAAUGAUAAAACUUUUAAAGAACAUAUUUGUAUAACUUUGUGAAGAGAAUCGGAACACAAAAAAUAUGAAAUAAAACUUGAUAAAUUAGAUAUUGUAGUUAAAAUUUUUAUAUGUAAAAAUUUAUCAAAAAGUUGAAAGAGACAUGAAUUGUAUUACCAGUCAUUUUUGUUUAUUUUUGAUGUUUAGCUUGACUUGAUUUCUCCUUUGGUUGGCUUUUCCUUUAUUGUAAUUCUUUCCUUUACAGAUUUGCAUGGUUGUUUUUCAUUUCCUCCUCGUGGAAUAUUAGCUUUCAUUUAUCAUAGAAUGUUUUUAUUUCUUCGUCAAAUUUGAAGCUUAAUUUUGCUGGGAUACUUAGUUGGCAUUCAUUAUAUUUUAGAGCUUGGUAUAUGUUGUUCCAGGAUCUCCUAGCUUUGAGAGUCUGGGUUGAAAAAUCUGCUGAGAUCUAAAUUGGUCUUCCCUUAUAGGUACUCUUAUUUUUCUCUCUUGUGGCUUUUAAAAUUCUAUCCUUAUUCUGCAUGCUAGGCAUUUUCAUUAUAAUGUGUCUUGAUGUAGAUCUAUUGUAAUUUUGUACAUUUGGAGUCCUGUAAACCUCUUGUAUAUGAUUUUCUCAUUCAUUUUUCAUUCUUGGGAAAUUUUCUGCUGUUAUUUCAUUGAAGAGAUUAUAUUACUUUGGUUUGACUCUCUGAACCUUCCUGUAUCCCAAUAAAUCUUAAAUUUGGUCUUUUGAUGGUAUCCCAUAAUUCUUGGAUAUUCUGUUCAUAGUUUCUUACUAUCUUCACUGUGAGGUCAACUUUAUUUUCAAGAUUUUAAAUUUUGUCUUCAUUGUCUGAGGUC
rnacentral:lncRNA from 1 species